CAGUCGCCACGGUAAUACGUAGGUGGCAAGCGUUGUCCGGAAUUAUUGGACGUAAAGGGCUCGCAGGCGGUUUCUUAAGUCUGAUGUGAAAGCCCCCGGCUCAACCGGGGAGGGUCAUUGGAAACUGGGAAACUUGAGUGCAGAAGAGGAGAGUGGAAUUCCACGUGUAGCGGUGAAAUGCGUAGAGAUGUGGAGGAACACCAGUGGCGAAGGCGACUCUCUGGUCUGUAACUGACGCUGAGGAGCGAAAGCGUGGGGAGCGAACAGGAUUAGAUACCCCUGUAGUCCCUGUCUCUUAUAC
rnacentral:rRNA from 1 species